UGCCGUUCAUUGUCGUGCUGAAAUGACAAUCAUCAUUGCCUGCAUUACAAAGUUCCCGAAAAAAUUCUCACAUGUCAUGGACUCUCGGUGAUACCACUUCUU